rfam:Glossina austeni unplaced genomic scaffold Scaffold27, whole genome shotgun sequence.
GGUAGUAGCAAAUAAUCGAAUGAGAGCUUGGAGGACUGAAGUGGAGAAGGGUUUCGUGUGAACAGUGGUUGAUCACGAGUUAGUCGGUUCUAAGUUCAAGGCGAAAGCUGAUAUGAAAGCUGAGUUAUAUAUUAAAAAAAAAUGCAUAUUUAUAUUUCGAACAUCAUAUGUAGGUAAGAAAAUAUUGAAAAUAUACUUCUACUUAUAAGUUCUAAAGUCUAAAGAAAAGACUAACUAAUUUACAACUUUUCUUUCUGUUUCUUGUCUUAGUC